AAUAAGCCAAUUUGUGCCCCAACCACUUUCCCCGCCCCGAGGAAAGAAUCAGCAGGCUUUGUGUAAAGGGAUUAAGGCAUUAGCCUGCUCAGCAGGGAGAAGGGCUCUUGACUCUGUGGCAGUGUGGCCACGUUUCCAUGUGUCCAUGUGUCCAUGUGGGCUGCUGUAGGCCCUGGCUCACUGGUCCCAGGACCUGUGGCUAAAAGGAGGCAUUGCUGGAGGCCUCUCUUGAGAGGUGGGUACGUGGGCCAUGCUGCCUAUGCCCUCCUCAGGUCCCCAGAAGGAGCACUUCCAAGGGGUGCUGAGUCGGGGGAGGUGGGCAGGAAAAGAUGCCAGGGAAAGUUCUGAGCCCAGGUAGGAGUGACAGUGAUGUGUGGUGGAGAUCCUACAGCCAAACGAGGAGCAGUUAACAAUGCCACUUCAAAAACAGCGCCUGAGGCUCAGAAAGAAGGUGUAUCUUGCCAACCAUCACACAGCAAGUCACCAGCAGAGCUGAGACCAGAACCCAAGCUCCUGGUCCAGGGCUCAGUCAUUGAUUGUUCCAGCCACACGUGGCUGGUGCCAGGGGCCCGUCCGGUCUACUCCCUGCGGUGACUCUUUCUCCUGCCUCCCAACUCCAGAAAAGGAUCCUGCUGGGGAGCCUGGGGUGAGAUCCCAAGAGCCUUUCCGUGUGGACGUGGACAUAGUGGGGUAGGUCGAGAGACCAAAGCAGGAUUCUAACAGGCCUGGACAUAUGUCAUGGGCCAUCAAGACCAUCUGCAUGAAGGUCUUUUGCUACAGAAGUGAGGUGGCUUUUUGCAGCUGCUCAGGAGAACAAUCUGGCGUAGAAGUGGGAAGGCCCACAGAAUGAAAAGAGAGGAGUUCCAGGAAAGGGUUUGGCAGAUGGCAUCCCUGCAGGACUGCCUCGCGGCGCUCUGCCCCAUCCAGCCCCUACGUACUGGCCAUGUGACCUCAAUGUUUGAUGGACUCACUUGGCCUCUCUGAGGCUCGCUUUCUCCAUCUCUAAAAUGGAGGAUGAAGCAGGUUCAGCCCCACGGGCAGGCAGCACUAUGCCAGGGACAUGGCGAGCCCUCUGGAAAAGUUCACCUGAUCCAGACGUUGCUGGGUCAACGGGAAGGAAUGACUUUCACUCCUCUGCUUCAAACCACCAGACUGUCCUUGGCCCUCCCUAAUGAAGGAGCAGAGAACAGCAGAGUGGGCAGGGACCUUGGAGGUCAGCAGGGUGGCUGCUCAGCCCAGAGGCAACCGGGAGCUCGUCCCAGGGUGUGACAAUUCAGUCAGCCCUUUACUGAACACUCGGCUUUAAACCGCCUCAUGCCUGGCAUGAGGAAGGCACCGUGCUGGAGGGUUUCACCACGGUUCUCUGUGUGUCUCCGGGGAGCUCACUGUCCUGUCUGAGGCCCGUCCGGGGUCCGGACAGUGGAGCUUUCAGGUUCGUGCGCACCCUCUGCCUGCCUCUUCUCCCUGUCAGUAAGGACGUGGGUGUGGCUGGGAGGCAGAUCCUGGGUGGAGAACGGAGCUCCUGGUUCUGAACAGUUUGAGGGUCUGGAAGUCCUUUAAGAAGAUGGUGAAAACUAUGGACCUUCUCCCCAAAGAGAAGCACACAUCCACAUCCAGAGGCAAAAACCCCAUCGCUCAGAACCCCGUGGAUGAGGCAGUCAUUAUCCAGUGGUGCUGUCACUAUGGCUGGGGCUGGCCUUGAUCUCUGUUGCUGGAUUCCACAUGUUCAUUCUCUCUGGCCACAUUAUCAGAUCUCUAGCUCCAACAUCCUGUGUGAUACCAGGAUGGCCAUUGCCAUGAUCUUGUCCACGGGUCCACUUUCAGCAGCUGGGCCCUGGAGGGCAGCACACAGCUCAUGAUUGGGUUGGAGAUGGGGGAGUCAGGGGCAGAUGGUGGGAGCUGUCCCCAGCCCUGCCUCUCUUAGGACCCUCCUGGGACUCAGGUACAUAGGGUCCCUGAGAAAGACCCAGUUUGAUGAGACAGGCAGGAGGAAUAAGGAAGAGUGUAGUUUAAGAAAGUUUUCUCCAGCUCUGGUUCAUGCAUCCGUCCUGAAAGAAGGCAGGGAAAGGAUUAUUCACCCAUUUCACAGAUGAAGAAAUUGAGGCUUGGAGAGGUCACGGAGCACACAGAGCAAAGAAGUCAAAACCAGGAUUUGAAUCUACUCUGAUUACCUCCAGAGCCCAUGUCUUGUCCCAAUGGAUGGAAAAUUCUUAACUAUUUAACUCAAUAUUGAGCAGCUACUGUCUACAGAAUUCUGUGCCAGACAGCUUGGGAGACACAGACCUACAGGGAGAUAUAGUUCCCACUGGAAGCACCCAGGGCAGUAAUAAUUAUCAUCAUAACAAAGGAAUAAUAAUAGCUAACAUUUUGGAGCACUUACUAGGGACCAGCAUUAUGCUACACAGUUUUCAUGGAUUAUCUCAUUUAAGCUCUCAAAUAUUUUGGGGUGUAAAUAACAGUAUGCCCACAAUUUUUGUUUGUUGUUGGUGUUCAGAAGUGUAUAUCCGUUUUUGAGAAUGGAGGCUCAGCGAGAUUAGGAGCCUUGCUCUCAACGAGGGAGGAAUUCUGGCUGCGACUCUGUCCCUUACUACCUGGGCAUCACCUCUGUCAAACCUGGACAGGUGCCACUUAGACCUGGCUGAGGUUGGCUGAGGCGGGGAGGAUGGGGAGGUUGUGGGUAGGCAGCACCUAUUCAUACCCACAGUCCAGGGACUGUUCCAGAAGAAUAGUAUUCCCUGUGCCCUUGCCGCCUCUGAGCCUUGGUGUCCCAGCCUUUCGAUCCUCUCACUUCUGAUGUCCUUGAGCCAUAAUCUGAGCCAUUCUCUAGGAUAAGGAGAUGCUUGAGGUUGAGUGAAAGGUUGACAUUUCUGCAGGAGCAAAGAAUGACUUGAUGCAGGAGAGAAAGGCUGUGGGGGGAAAGUGAGUGAGGCAAAUCCCCAAGGCAGAGCAGAGCCUUCCAAAGGGUGCAGGGGAGAGUCUUGGUGGAGGGGGCCAGCCUUGCUCAGCAGCCCCAACCUCAACAAGGACCCCUACCCAAGAAGGCCUGCAAAAUAGCAAAUCAAUGAAGACAGCAAUGAAAGCAAUGAGGAGGGAAGAGGGACCAGAAUCCCAGUCACAUCAUCACCCCUCACCCCUUUUUCUGGCCUCAGUUUUCCUUCUGUGAACAGAGGGAGCUGGCCCUUCUGUCAUUUGCAGGAUUUUCAUCUCAGGCUGGCAGCAGGAGCUGGAAAAGUGAGGGAGGUCCCUCCCUUCCCCGGCCCGGGGUCUGUGAUUGGCAGCACCUCCUCCUCUCUUCCUCUCCUGUCCCUUCCUUCCCCUUCCCUCCCCUGCUUUCCUUUCCCUUCCCCUCCUCCCCUUCCCUUCCCCAGUCUUCCCCUCCCACUCUUUCAAGCCCCCAGCGUGCUGUGCAGUUAUUAGUUUAGGUUCAUUUAGAAUCGGCUUAGCAACCCCACACCCCUGGAACCUGGAAGCUUAAAGCACAAGAUGUCUGGCAAAUGGAAAUUCAAUUGCUUUAAUAUAGAGACUAUUUUGCUGCAGUCGAACUGGAGCCUCUUAUUAAGAAUCUGAUGGAAUUUCUAAACAGGGAGAGAGGCCCCAAGGAGGGGGCAUCGCCCAUCACACACCAACAUUGCUCUUGACAUAUUUAUGGCUCCAAUAAAAUCUCACAUCUGGUAUAUUUUAAAAUAAAAUUGAAAAUUUAUCACUUUCCCUGAGUCGGUUUGUCGUUCUCCCAAGGAGGAGAUAGCCAGCCUGAGAUUACAGGCGAAGCGGCAGCGGGCGGCAGGCGGGCAGAGAGGUUAGGCUGGGCUCUGAUUUAAAUUUCAAUACUUUCCCCAUUACAGCUGUCUGGGCUGGGAAAAUUACUAGGGGAAGCAGGCCAUGUGCUUCUCCUAUUUCUCUGGACAUCUACUUGGCUGUCUCUGCCAGGGUCCACAGACUUGGUCUGCUCUCCCCACUACUUAGCAAGGUUUGGAUGAACCACAAAAUGGGAGGAAGCCCCAUCCUCCAGGCCUAGGAAUCAGCAUCAUCCAUUUGUACCUCUCUGAAGCCCAGUGGACACCUUUGGGUGCUGCUACAUGGUUCGAGAGGGCCCCUCUUUAUCAGGACUCAGAGAUCAAGAUCAGGGCUUAGGCUCAGGUGGGGAGCAGGGUUCAGUCUGUAACUAGCAUUGGGGUUCAGUCUAAAACUAAGAUCAGAACUUCAACUCAGGCCAGGAUCAAGGAUCAGUCUGUAACCAAGGUCAGGGCUCAGGCUCAGGAUGGAAUCAAGGUUCAUUCCAUUAACAAAAACAG
rnacentral:lncRNA from 1 species